UGUCACAGAAUGCUGUUUAAAAACUCAGUAGCAUCUGGGCGUGAGCAGGCUUUGUUGAGUGAAGUUGAUUGGUUGCAGGAGCAGCAACAAUUCCAGAACCAAGUCAUGACACCCACCUCUUCAAGGUUUAGUUAAAUAUAUCUUGUGGUGAAAAUGCCCGGAGCAAGAAGGCAAAGCAUCAUGAAGAGGACAUUGGGAGCUCUGCUGGGGCUCUUCAGUGCCCAGGUUUGCUGUGUGAUAGGAAUUCAAGUGGAGCAGAGUCCUCCAGACCUGAUUCUCCAGGAGGGAGCCAAUUCUACGCUGCGGUGCAAUUAUUCUGCCACUGCGAACAAUUUGCAGUGGUUUCACCAAAACCCUUGGGGACAGCUCAUCAACCUGUUUUACAUAGCAUCAGGGACAAAACAGAAUGGAAGAUUAAGCGCCACGACUGUCACUACGGAACGCUACAGCUUUUUGCACAUUUCCUCUUCCCAGACCACAGACUCAGGCAUUUAUUUCUGUGCUGUGGAGUCACAGUGCUCCCCAGGCACCUGCAGCCUGUACACAAACCCUCAGCUGGGCUCAGUUCCUCUACCAGCAACAACCACAUCAUGAGGCCACCACAGCAGCAUUUGCACAGCUUAAUAUUCCUUUUGUACAUAGGUAGAGUUUUAACCACAGAUUCUUUUUGGCUCUACAGGUUUGAGACUUUGGUCUUUAUUUUCCCUUUUCAAUACACACCUCCUCCUACCCUAUAAAUAUCGAGCUUGGAAGGAGUAGAGUAGCUGAUGAGAGGACAGAAUCAAAAUAAAUAUUUAAGUGACAGUAUGCAGGACUCCAAAAGAGUAAAGUAAAAAGAAUAAAAAGAAAAGAAACACCAUUCCAAUAAGCAUGUUGUUAGAUACAUUAGACCACGAUCCAGCUUAGUUGCGUGUCUCAAGCACGUACAAGUCUCCCUCACUACAUUAUGUACCAGCAGACAAGGGCAAAUAUUUGCAUCCUAUCCCACUAGUGCAGCAAAGUAAAACUUCUUUGAAUAUUAACAUAUUGAUAAACAGCUGUGGAAAAAAGCUUUAAAAUGUUAUGUUCCACUCAACUAUGUCCAAUAUGUGUUUUUCAGGCUUGUUGUAUAACCUAGAAUAUGAUCUAUCCUGGAAAAUAUAACCAUGCAUGCUUGAGAAGAAUGUGUUUUUGAUCUUGGGUAGAUAGAUGACUGUUAGGUCUACCUGGCUUUUGUGUUGUUCAAAUCUUCUAUUUCCUUGUUGGUAUUCUAUUUGUCCUAUCUAUUAUUGAAAGUGAGAUAUUGAGUCUUCACUUGUUAUUCUUGAAUUUUCUGCUUUUCCCUUCAAUUUUGACAGUUUUCGUGCAUCAUGUAUUUUGGGGUAUGUCAUUAGGUUCAUAUAUGUUUAUAACUGAUAUAUUCUUAAUGGAUGCCCUUUUUAACAUUAUAAACUUUCCCUUUUUGUCUUUAGCAACAUUUUUUGGUUUAAAGUAUACUUUGUCUAAUAAUAACGUAGUUACUCUAGUUCUCUUAUGGUUGCUGUUAAAUGAUAUAUCUUUUCCUAUCCUUUUACUUUCAACUUAUUUGUAUCUUUGUAUCUAAAGUAUGUCUCUGACAGUGUAUAGGGGUGUGUGUGUGUGUGUGUGUGUGUGUGUGUAUGUAGACAUUCUGAUAAUCUCUGCUUUUUGAUUGGAUUGUUUAAUCCAUUAACAUUUAAUGUUAUCGUUGAUACAGAAUAUAUCUGGCAUUUUAAUUUUAUUUUCUUUCUGUCUUAUGUGUUUUCUGUUCCUCUGUACCUCCUUAACUGCUUUCC